AUGAAAAUGGCAGAACAUGCAGUCAGUUGCUGUCCACAGGGGAGCAAAAUGAGAGAACAGAUGAAAAUGGAAGUCUGGGGCCAGGCGCUGUGGCUCACUCCUGUAAUCCCAGCACUUUGGGAGGCUGAGGUGGGCGGAUCACGAGGUCAGGAGUUUGAGACCAGCCUGUCCAACAUGGCGAAAACCUGUCUCUACUAAAAAAUGCAAAAAUUAGCUGGGCCUGGUGGUGUGUACUUGUAAUCCCAGCUACUCAGGAGGCUGAGGGAGGAGAAUCGCUUGAACCCAGGAGGCAGAGGUUGCAGUGAGCAAAGAUCGUGCCACUGAACUCCAGCCUGGGCGACGGAGCAAGACUCUGUCUCCAAAAAACAAACAAACAAAAAAAAGAAAUUAAGAGAAAGACAUACUUUAUUCAAAAACUUAUUCUAUAGGAGAAACAAGAGAUUAAUGCCAUGUAUAACUAAGAUAUAUAUCAAGAUGGAGACAAAGGUAAAGCAAAUAAAGCAAAUGAGAAAUUAAUUAUACUGCUAUAUACACCUCAAGACCAUGAUGGAGGAGGGAGGAAAUGGAUAUUGUGUUUUUGGUGUUACAUCUUGGUACGAAGUAACCCUUUGCAGUAAGGGGAGAAUUUUAUUAUCUUUGAAAAAGUUAAUUUUGCUCAAAUUAAAGUAUUUGGUAAAUGCCUAACUUUUAAUGUUGACAUUUUAAAUCUCUAUAAAAGAGACAGCAUACAAGAGAGUUGAAUGUCAAUAUGGAGAUUCUAAGGGGUAAUAACGAGGGAGCAACCAGAAUCUUGGAGCCUAGACUAUAAUGAAAGUCAUGUAUGUGUUCCUGCUCGUACUCUUCGAAAUGAAGUUCUUGGACACGGUGAUUCCACAAAUUCUUAUUGGUCUGCAUCAAGAUGAAAGUAAGCAUUGGAAACUUUUGCAGCAAUUUUUAUCACCACACCAUUUUUAUUUUAUUUUAUGAAACUAAAACUGAUCCCUUACCACAAAUACUUUGAGAGGCACUCUUCUAGUUCAUAAUAAAAUGAAAUUCAAAAAUUUUACUGCCUUUUGUCCUGAACGUGAAUACAGCUUGAGAAAAGGAAAGAGGGAGAAUGUGAAUAGAUUGAAGGGCUCGGGAAAGUACAGAGAAAUAAAGUAUGUAUGCUGCGGUCUCACAUACUAGAUUUCAAUCCUGGUUCCUCUACUCACUUUACUUGUCUUCUGGAAGUACCAGUUCCCUUAAAUGUAAACUAUUAUAAAUGUCAUAAGCUAAAUUAACAGGGUAUUGUAAGGAUUAAGAAGCCAUGUAUAUAAACUUCUUUGCAGACUGGGCACAGUGGCUCACACCUGUAAUCCCAGCACUUUGGGAGGCCGAGGUGGGCAGAUCAUAAGGUCAGGAGUUCGAGAACAGCCCGGCCAACAUAGUGAAACCCCGUCUCUACUAAAAAUAUAAAAAUAAGCUGGGCGUGGUGGCGGGUGCCUGUAGUCCCAGCUACUCGGGAGGCUGAGGCAGGUGAAUUUUUUGAACCCGGGAGGCGGAGGUUGAGGCGAGCCGAGAUCGCGCCGCUACACUCCAGCCUGGGCAACAGAGCAAGACUCUGUUUCAAAACUAAACAAAACAAAACAACUUUUUUGCAAACUGUAGAGCACUAUUCAAAUGCUAAUUCCUAAGACCCCCAUUCCCUUCCACCCUCAGUCCCCCAAGAGAGACUGAAGAGAGGAUGUAUGCAGCAAUCUUUAUAUUCUGUGUCUCAUCUGUUGCAGCUGCAAUAGGAUUGGGUCGCCCACUUUCCUGCCACAGCAGAAAUGAAC
rnacentral:lncRNA from 1 species